UACGUAGGGUGCGAGCGUUGUCCGGAUUUAUUGGGCGUAAAGAGCUUGUAGGCGGCUCGUCGCGUCGGGUGUGAAAACUUGCGGCUUAACCGCAAGCCUGCACCCGAUACGGGCGGGCUAGAGUUCGGCAGGGGAGACUGGAAUUCCUGGUGUAGCGGUGGAAUGCGCAGAUAUCAGGAAGAACACCCGUGGCGAAGGCGGCUCUCUGGAACGCAACUGACGCUGAGACGCGAAAGCGUGGGGAGCAAACAGG
rnacentral:rRNA from 1 species